CCUACGGGAGGCAGCAGUGGGGAAUAUUGGGCAAUGGGCGCAAGCCUGACCCAGCAACGCCGCGUGAAGGAAGACGGUUUUCGGGUUGUAAACUUCUUUUCUCAGGGACGAAGAAAGUGACGGUACCUGAGGAAUAAGCCACGGCUAACUACGUGCCAGCAGCCGCGGUAAUACGGAGGGGGCAAGCGUUAUCCGGAUUUAUUGGGUGAAAAGGGCGUGUAGGCGGGAGCGUAAGGCAGAUGGGAAAACUCAGGGCUCAACCCUGGGCCUGCAUUUGAAACUGUGUAUCUUGAGUGCGGGAGAGGCAAGCGGAAUUCCUGGUGUAGCGGUGAAAUGCGUAGAUAUACGGAAGAACACCAGUGGCGAAGGCGGCCUUCUGGGCUUUAACUGACGCUGAGGCUCGAAAGCGUGGGGAGCGAACAGGAUUAGAUACCCCUGUAGUC
rnacentral:rRNA from 1 species